CCUACGGGAGGCAGCAGUGGGGAAUAUUGCACAAUGGGGGGAACCCUGAUGCAGCGACGCCGCGUGGGUGAAGGAGUACUUCGGUACGUAAAGCCCUAUUAGCAGGAAAGAAAAUGACGGUACCUGACUAAUAAGCCCCGGCUAAUUACGUGCCAGCAGCCGUGGUAAUACGUAGGGGGCAAGCGUGAUCCGGAUUUACUGGGUGUAAAGGGAGCGUAGACGGCAGUGCAAGUCCGGAGGGAAAGCCCGGGGCUCAACCUUAGGUCUGCUCUGGAAACUGUAAAGCUGGAGUGCGUGAGAGGCAGGCGGAAUUCGUGGUGUAGCGGUGAAAUGCGUAGAUAUCAGGAAGAACACCGACGGCGAAGGCAGCCUGCUGGGCCGUAACUGACGUUGAGGCACGAAAGCGUGGGGAGCAAACAGGAUUAGAUACCCUUGUAGUC
rnacentral:rRNA from 1 species